rnacentral:autocatalytically_spliced_intron from 1 species
AGAGGAGUUAAAUAAAGGUAAGGGUAGAAAAAGAAAGUAUUUUAUCGGAGACGUGAUCGAAGAAUCCUCAACGACCACACGCCGGACUCGUUCUAUCGAACGAGAAGAUAUGGUCUGAGCUCUAUGGUGACAUAGAG